rnacentral:pre_miRNA from 1 species
AAUAAGUGCAGUUUUGCACUAUUCAUGUUCAACAUUUGACUGUUCGUCUUAUUUGAAAAAAAUUUAUGAUUAGUAUUUUUAUUGCUAUUAGAUGAUAAAACAUGAAUAGUAUUUAUGUGUGACUAAAUAUUUUCAAAUUUUUUAAAUAAGACGGACGGUCAAACGUUGGGCACAGAUAUCCACGGCUGCACUUAUU